rnacentral:rRNA from 1 species
UAACACAUGCAAGUCGAACGGUAACAGGUCCUUCGGGACGCUGACGAGUGGCGCACGGGUGCGUAACGCGUAUGCAACCUGCCUUGUACAGGGGGAUAGCCCAUGGAAACGUGGAUUAAUACCCCAUAGCAUAUAAUUAUCGCCUGGUGAUUAUAUUAAAACUUCGGUGGUACAAGAUGGGCAUGCGUAGGAUUAGCUAGUAGGUGAGGUAACGGCUCACCUAGGCGACGAUCCUUAGGGGUUCUGAGAGGAUUAUCCCCCACACUGGUACUGAGACACGGACCAGACUCCUACGGGAGGCAGCAGUGAGGAAUAUUGGUCAAUGGGCGAGAGCCUGAACCAGCCAUCCCGCGUGCAGGAUGACGGCCCUACGGGUUGUAAACUGCUUUUCUAUGCCAAGAAACCUACUUACGUGUAAGUAGUUGCCGGUAGCAUAGGAAUAAGCAUCGGCUAACUCCGUGCCAGCAGCCGCGGUAAUACGGAGGAUGCAAGCGUUAUCCGGAUUCAUUGGGUUUAAAGGGUGCGCAGGCGGGCUUGUAAGUCAGUGGUGAAAUCUUGCCGCUUAACGGUAAAAUUGCCAUUGAUACUGCAGGUCUUGAAUAUGGUUGA